GACGAACGCUGGCGGCGUGCUUAACACAUGCAAGUCGAACGGUAAGGCCUUUCGGGGUACACGAGUGGCGAACGGGUGAGUAACACGUGGUGAUCUGCCCUGCACUUUGGGAUAAGCCUGGGAAACUGGGUCUAAUACCGAAUAGGACCAUGGACUUCACGGUUUGUGGUGGAAAGCUUUUGCGGUGUGGGAUGGGCCCGCGGCCUAUCAGCUUGUUGGUGGGGUAAUGGCCUACCAAGGCGACGACGGGUAGCCGGCCUGAGAGGGUGACCGGCCACACUGGGACUGAGAUACGGCCCAGACUCCUACGGGAGGCAGCAGUGGGGAAUAUUGCACAAUGGGCGCAAGCCUGAUGCAGCGACGCCGCGUGAGGGAUGACGGCCUUCGGG
rnacentral:rRNA from 1 species